rnacentral:rRNA from 1 species
UGGGGAAUUUUCCGCAAUGGGCGAAAGCCUGACGGAGCAAUGCCGCGUGGAGGUGGAAGGCCUACGGGUCGUCAACUUCUUUUCUCGGAGAAGAAACAAUGACGGUAUCUGAGUAAUAAGCAUCGGCUAACUCUGUGCCAG